GAUGAACGCUGGCGGCGUGCUUAACACAUGCAAGUCGAACGGAAAGACCACAGCUUGCUGUGGUACUCGAGUGGCGAACGGGUGCGUAACACGUGGGUGAUCUGCCCUGUACUUCGGGAUAAGCUUAGGAAACUGGGCCUAAUACCGGAUCGGAAUCACAUGAGGGUGUGAGGCUGGAAAGCUUUUGCGGUAUGGGAUGGGCUCGCGGCCUAUCAGCAUGUUGGUGGGGGAAUGGCAUACCAAGGCGUAGGCGGGUAGCCGGCAUGAGAGGGGGUACAGGCACCAUGGUACUGAGAGAGGGCGCAGACUGCUACGGGGGGCAGUAGGGGGGAAUAUUGCACAAUGGGCGCAAGUCUGAGGCAGCGGCGCCGCGUGGGGGAUGACGGCCUUCGGGUUAUAAACUCCUUUCGUCUGGGACGAAGCGAAAGUGACGGUACCUGGAGAAGAAGCACCGGCUAACUACGUG
rnacentral:rRNA from 1 species